CACGUAGGGUGCAAGCGUUGUCCGGAAUCAUUGGGCGUAAUGAGCUCGUAGGCGGCUUAGUAAGUCGGGUGUGAAAACCCCAGGCUCAACCUGGGGACGCCACCCGAUACUGCUAUAGCUAGAGUCCAGUAGGGGAGUGUGGAAUUCCCAGUGUAGCGGUGAAAUGCGCAGAUAUUGGGAGGAACACCAGCGGCGAAGGCGGCACUCUGGGCUGGUACUGACGCUGAGGAGCGAAAGCGUGGGUAGCGAACAGG
rnacentral:rRNA from 1 species